rnacentral:rRNA from 1 species
CCUACGUGAGGCUGCAGUGAGGCAUAUUGGUCAAUGGCCGGAAGGCUGAACCAGCCAUGCCGCGUGAAGGUCAGUGCCCUAUGGGCGUUAAACUUCUUUUGUGCGGGCGCAAUAAUGGUCACGUGUGGCCAGACGAGAGUACCGUACGAAUAAGCAUCGGCUAACUCCGUGCCAGCAGCCGCGGUAAUCCGGGGGAUGCAAGCGUUAUCCGGAUUUAUUGGGUUUAAAGGGUGCGUAGGCUGUGAGGUCAGUCAGCGGUGAAAUGCCCCCGCUCAACGGGGUGAAGUGCCAUUGAUACUGCCUUGCUGGAAUGCGGAUGCCGUGGGAGGAAUGUGUGGUGUAGCGGUGAAAUGCAUAGAUAUCACACAGAACACCGAUUGCGAAGGCAUCUCACGAAUCCGCGAUUGACGCUGAUGCACGAAAGCGUGGGUAUCAAACAGGAUUAGAUACCCUUGUAGUC